rnacentral:rRNA from 1 species
CAGCCGCCGCGGUAAUACGUAGGUCCCGAGCGUUGUCCGGAUUUAUUGGGCGUAAAGCGAGCGCAGGCGGUUAGAUAAGUCUGAAGUUAAAGGCUGUGGCUUAACCAUAGUACGCUUUGGAAACUGUUUAACUUGAGUGCAGAAGGGGAGAGUGGAAUUCCAUGUGUAGCGGUGAAAUGCGUAGAUAUAUGGAAGAACACCGGUGGCGAAAGCGGCUCUCUGGUCUGUAACUGACGCUGAGGCUCGAGAGCGUGGGGAGCAAACAGGAUUAGAUACCCGGGUAGUCCCUGUCUCUUAUACA